GUGUUUUCAGAGUUGUAAGGACAACUGAAAAGAUGACCGCGAAAGAAGUGUAACUGGUGAUAUUUCCGCUGGCCACUCCCGUAUAUAACGAGAGUUUGGAGAGGAAGUUUUGAAAACAGGGAGGACCGAUCCCUGUUCCCACCGCUGACUUCCAGACCAGAGUCGCUGGUGCUUCUGAGAAGGACAUUGUUCACUCUGGCCUGGCCUACACCAUGGAGAGAUCUGCCAGGCUGAUAAGAGUGGAACCUGGUGUUGUCGUCUGCUGCAAUAGCCCAUCUAUGAUGAGUUGUGCAUUCCGAGAUGUCGUUCUACACACCACUGUUGUACAGCGCCAUUAUUUGCCGGUUUGUGGUCCGCCUAUUAGCUUGCACAAUUCUUGCCAUUCUCCUUUGACCUCUGUCAUCUACAAGCUGUUUUCGCCCACAGGACUGCCGCUGACUGGAUGUUUUUGUUUGUCGCACCAUUCUCGGGGAAACCCUAGACACUGUCGUGCAUGAAAACCCAAAGAGGCCAGACGUUUCUGAGAUACGACGCGCCUGGCGCCAACAACCAUACCACACGUAGUGGCUUAAGUCAUUCAUUUUCCCCAUUCUAACGUUCAAUCAAACAGUAACUGAAUUCCUCGAUACCUGCUUUAUAUAGCAAGCCACGGUCACGUGACUCACUGUCUGUUGGAGCGAACCAUUAUUAUGAACGGAGUGGUGUACCUAAUAAACUGGCCACAGUGUACAAUGAUAAACAAUAUGGCAGUAUUUAAAUGUGUAAAUAGUGUUAUUAACUUAAUAUAAUGUAUAUAAUAUUAUUUUAUGUGUACUGUAGCUCUGUUAACUGUAUUUAGUAAUAAUAUGAUAUAAUGUUGUAUUAGGAGUUGUGUUGACUGUGACUCUUCCUUCAGAGGCCAGAACAGACAGUAAAAUGUGUCCAGUUCUCACUAGGUUAUGUUUAUAGAGGAAGAUGUCAAAUUCUACCUAGCAGAGCUGGCUCUGGCCCUCGACCACCUGCACCAUCUUGGCAUAGUUUACAGAGACCUCAAACCAGAGAUGUAUUUUGUGGGACGAAGCAAGGGGACAAGAUGAGGGAAAGUUCCGCUAACAAGGGCAACUACUAGGAGCUUGCAGAGGCACUGUGUCACGGCCGUCGUUCAAGGAAGACCAAGGUGCAGCGUGUCAAAUCCUGUCCUCAUUGGAAGAGUUGAGUUCUUCUCCAACACCAUCCAUCCAUGAUGAGCUUGUCCUGCACUGAAUCCUCUGAACAUAUCAACCCAGGUCCUGCACUGAAGUCAAGCCUCUAAACACCUUAACUCAUGCUUCAUACCCUCAUUCAAAUCACUGCUGUGAUCCCUUCCCAACAUGGCGAUGCCGGGGAGCGGAGUUGGGAGGGUCGUCAGCUUCAUGGGAAACACCUGGGCCAGGUGUCUCCCAGGAUAAAUAGACCUCUUCCACAUUCAUGGAAGAGACUCUCUCCAUGCAGACACCUUUAUGGAUUUUGUUGUGUUUCUUGGUGGUUUUUGGGUUGUUUGCGACAGCACCUUUCAACACCCUGCAUUAUCACAUUCAUGCAUGCAAAACACUCACUUACACUACUGAUUACACACACCAUUGUAUAUUUUCCUUAGUUGCUUUAGUUAAUAAAUAUAUAUUUUGUUAAUCCUUAUCUCCACGUUGUCUCCCUUUGUUACGGGCUUUGAGCCGGUUCGUGACACUGACUCCUGACACUUGUUAAAUCAAACUUUAUUAGAAUUGCGUUUAAAAUCUUGAUACAUUUUAGAACACACAUUUUGAAACAAUAUGAAACACAUAUUGCUGGGGAAAUUCACAGGGACCACCACCUUUUUGCUUUAAGCACCUUUAUCAUUGGGAAAGUGAAACUAUAACCAAAGCAAGAUAAUGAUGAUGGUGAGCACUUAUGAAUGCAUUUUUCAUACAAGCUCAAAAAACAAACAUUAAAAGGUAAAAGAUACAACAUUCAAAUAAUAAGGUGAGAGGAACAGCAGGCUUUAUUAUAACUGUUCGUCAAAUUAUACAUCCCGUAAAAUAAUGUUUCUCUUCUGAUCUGCCCUGGAAUGUUCAGUGCUUCCCGUUACCUCCUUCCACCUCUUCCUCUUUUAUGUCUUCCUCUUUUAUGUCUUCCUCUUUUAUGUCUUCCUCUUUUAUGUCCUCGCUCUCUCUUUUCCUCUGCUCUCCUCUUUCCUCAAUGUCUAGCUCUGCCAUUUUCUUCAAGACAUCAUCUGUCGUCCCGACGCUCUGUCUCACUCUCUCUCUCAAGGCUGGGAAAUCAUUUGAGAAUAUCAUUAACGUCUCACUAUUACCCUGCACCAUGAUUGUCCCAGUAUCAUACACAUUUAUAGUGCCUGCCUUCGUUUUCAGUUGUUUGCCAUCUUGAAUUUUUCUCCACUGUUUUCCCUCAGGAUAGUGUUUCAGUAUUUCCUCUUCCCAUGUAGAAACAUUUGUUGUGUAGAAAAUGAGGUCGCACGGAGCAUUUUUUCUUUCAUCACGAUAUAAAGUCUCUGGCUUUCCCUUCAAAAAAUGUUUUUCUUUUCCUUUUCAUCUGUCAUUCCCUCAGGAUAGGGGAUGAGGGGGGGCAAUAUGUUCGGUUGUUUUACCUCUGCCAUUUCUAGAUGUGGCAACUAGAUUUCCUUUGACUGUUUGUUUACUACCACCUGUAAUAAAGAUGUUAAUGUAUUUAUUAUCUAGGUCACUCAUUAACAACAUAUUCUCUUUCACAAAAAAGCCAGGUUAAAUAUUAGGAGCAGGGCCCUGUAUUUCCUUGACUAAUAUUGGAAGUCUUUAAUCUGUACUCACUCUGGAGCUGUGUGUCCGCUUUCUGAUCUCGUCUCUCUGUCUGUAGAAGAUCUGUGUUCGUUCAGUUCUGAAGCCUCUUCCUCUUCCUUUAACAACCUCGGUGUAGCAGGAGAUACAGUACUGUGUCCUCUCUUGGAAAUUGUCACCGUGUUUUCAGAGUUGUAAGGACAACUGAAAAGAUGACCGUGAAAGAAGUGUAACUGGUUAUAUUUCCGCUGGCCACUCCCGUAUAUAACGGAGGUUACAUUAAGGUGACUUUCCAGAUAGACAGAUACGCCUUUCUGACGUUCAGGUUUUGAAUAAAAGAAAACAAUGCUAAUCUGAAAUGUGUGAGUGAACCCAGAUGAAACUUCAGGGAUGAAUGUUGAUCGACUGGAUAUACUUGAAAAUACGAUGGUUGCCAAUGAUCAGGUUACAUUGCUACAUUGCCAUCUAUCUAUUUAUCUCUCGAUCCCUCGCUGUCUCUCAGUGUCCAUUCAGGAGAGUUUGGAAAGCAGGGAGGACCGAUCCCUGUUGUUCCCACCGCUGACCUCCAGACCAGAGUCGCUGGUGCUUCUGAGAAGGACA